UUUCAGAACUGCAAAGACCGAGCGGCAGUGGGCAGAUAUUGCUGUAUCUCUGUCGCUGCUCUCCAUGUGUGAGCGAGGCUUCAAGAAGCUACAGGAGUGCUGGGAGUGUUACAGUGAUAAACUUACAGAGGAUGCGGUUUACCAACCUCUGCUCUCCAUCUUGGCCAAACUCCGCCGCAGAGCCGAGCCCCAGUUUAAAGCUCAGGUAGAGGAGUUUGAGAAGAAGUUAACAGCAGUGCAUACAAAAGGUCUGGAAGAUGUGGAAAAUGAAGAGCGAGAG